rnacentral:rRNA from 1 species
CCUACGGGAGGCAGCAGUGAGGAAUAUUGGUCAAUGGGCGUGAGCCUGAACCAGCCAAGUCGCGUGAAGGAUGAAGGUUCUAUGGUUUGUAAACCUCUUUUAUAAGGGAAUAAAGUGUGGAACGUGUCCCUUUUUGUAUGUACCUUAUGAAUAAGGAUCGGCUAACUCCGUGCCAGCAGCCGCGGUAAUACGGAGGAUCCGAGCGUUAUCCGGAUUUAUUGGGUUUAAAGGGUGCGUAGGUGGGUUUUUAAGUCAGCGGUGAAAGUCUGUGGCUCAACCAUAGAAUUGCCGUUGAAACUGGUAGGCUUGAGUAUGUUUGAGGAAGGCGGAAUGCGUGGUGUAGCGGUGAAAUGCUUAGAUAUCACGCAGAACUCCGAGUGCGAAGGCAGCCUGCCAAGCCAUAACUGACGCUGAUGCACGAAAGCGUGGGGAUCAAACAGGAUUAGAUACCCUUGUAGUC